GUGCGAUCGCCUCCCUGCAAUCGAUGUCAAAAGGAAAGUUGCGGAAAUCAUGUCACCUCAGUAGGAAACUCCUCCGAGCAAGGAAACUCCCCUGAGGCCCUGAGCAAUCAGCUCCCAGGAGAUAUGUCGUCCCCAAUCUUGCGCGCCUGCCUGGUCCCCUGCGACUCCCACCCCUCUGGUUGCGCCGCUGCCACCUCUCCCUCCUUCCCCCGGUGGCCGGUGCUCUGAUCGGUGCGAGGACGAAGCAACCCAGUUGCCGAGAAGGAUGCUUGCUUCUCCCCCGAAGGCGACGGCCCACGCCGCUGUCUCCCGCGCCAACAACGCCACCCCCGACGACGACGAGCCCCACCACCAUUAAAUUUAUCUAAGGGGCAGUGGCCUCUCGCCGCCGGCGAUAACCACCGGCAAAAAGGAGAAUUGCAGAGAGUUUGGUGGAGGCAAUGGAUGAUUUGAGACAAUAGAAGGGUGUGGUAACUUUUGUUAGUGAAUGUUGGACAUUUUAGGCUUCUAUGUAGCCGUGCAAAGCUUUGAUCUUAGAUAUGAAAUUUAUGUUUAUUUUUAUGGAGAGACUUAUUCGUGACAUUUUCAUUUUUAUGUGACGCUAACAUUGAUCUGUAUUGACUUUCUUAUAUUAUUUAUUUACUUCUGUAUUUUCUUGA